rnacentral:rRNA from 1 species
UACAGAGGGGGCAAGCGUUGUUCGGAAUUACUGGGCGUAAAGGGCGCGUAGGCGGCCUUCUAAGUCGAACGUGAAAUCCCCGGGCUCAACCCGGGAACUGCGUCCGAUACUGGAAGGCUUGAAUCCGGGAGAGGGAUGUGGAAUUCCAGGUGUAGCGGUGAAAUGCGUAGAUAUCUGGAGGAACACCGGUGGCGAAGGCGACAUCCUGGACCGGUAUUGACGCUGAGGCGCGAAAGCCAGGUGAGCAAACGGG